AACUUUCAGCAACCGAUCUCUUGGCUCUCGCAUCGAUGAAGAACGCAGCGAAAUGCGAUACGUAAUGUGAAUUGCAGAAUUCAGUGAAUCAUCGAAUCUUUGAACGCACCGUGCGCCCCUUGGUAUUCCGAGGGGCACACCCGUUUGAGUGUCGUGAAAAUCUCAACCUUCUCGGUUUCUUCUGGACACCGAAGGAGGCUUGGACUUUGGAGGCCUUUGCUGGCGUCUCUCGCCAGCUCCUCUCAAAUGAAUUAGUGGGGUCCUCUUUGCCGCUCCUCGACGUGUCAUAAGAUGUUUCCAUGUCUUGGUUUAUGGCUCUGUUGCUUUUGGGACCCGCUACUAACUGCCUCGACGAGACAACGUUCGAGCGUGUCCAACACUCUGGAACCCACGAACCCUUGACCUCAAAUCGGGUGAGAAUACCCGCUGAACUUAAGCAUAUCAAUAAGCGGAGGCU
rnacentral:misc_RNA from 1 species